AGAAUUAUCGGUAAGUAAAUUCUUAUUUUUAGAAAGGUGGGUGUCCUAGGUCUAAUAUUUCUAGGUUAUACCAUGUAGUGUGAUAUAUGGCUUGGCGUAGGGAGGUUUUGACAGGACUGUCUAGUGUUUGCACAUAAGGGAGCCAUAUGUCAAAGAAUUUUGUUCUCCUAAUCUAAUAGCAUUUCCAACCAUUCCAUAUGGAAGAGGUAUGAUAUUCUUGGCAAAAAUAUAGCUAUGGAUAGUGAAUCUGUAGCUAUCCAUUGGGACAGUAUUGUUUUUUUUCCUGCUGCUGCUAUUUUGGUUAGUAAUUGGCGUUUACCGAUCGGCAGCUUAGAGGCAGGGUGAUAUAAGUGUAAGUCCCACAUAACCCAUUCCGGGGAGACAUCUAAGUUGAGAUGCAGUUUAUCUCUAACAUAUGUUUGAAUUAGGUUCCAGAAUUUACGUACUUCAAGGCAACUCCACAAACAAUGAUAAAUAUCUGCAUCUAUCAUGCCACACUUAAAACAUUUGGAGUCAGAGGCUGUUCCCAUUUGGAACCGUAGUUUUGGUGUAAUGUAGGAUCGGUGUAGGAUUUGAUAGUUCAUUUCUGCGUAGGAUGCUGAUAUAAGGGUUUUAUUAAUCUUAUUAAAGGCCGUAAGCAUGGUGGAAACAUCAAUGGAUGGGAUGAUUUUUUUUUUAACUGCCUGUCAAUCAGGCAGAGGCCUUUGCAGUUAAUGCGACUCAGUCGCAUUAUCUGCACGCGCAGUAUGGGACCUGAAUAACCCCCCAGUUGGGUUUGUUUACAUUGGGGCUAUGGCAACAGAGGGAAUCAUUAUCUGAGAACAUGCUGCCGCCAUGGAUACAAAUAAUGUCACAUUCGAUCAUCGUUAGACACUGGAGCACCUGUUGAUAAUUAGCAGAUAAGUGGAGGGUGCUUGGGUGUUUCAUGUGUGUAUAUAACAGACUGUGAAAUCACUCUAAUCAACACCAAUAAGAAGAUUUAUACAGAAGGGUAUAUUCAAUUGGUGACAGUUUUCAGAUUCAACAGCAAUCGACUGUCGAAACCCUCCACCCGGUACCCUGAAUCUGAUAUAGUCAAUACAAAAUGGAUUCGACACGUCUCCGGUCGAAAAUGGACCAAUGGUCGAAUAGUGGGUGGCCUGGAUUCGACUUCCCGCACUUCUCUUUACACCGGAGAGGGUACUUUGGCCUUGGGAGGGCUACUCCAUGAAACCUGUGGAAGAGAAAAAGGAUUAAAUUCAAGGAACUUUAAAGCGUGUCAUUCCUCCUGAAAAAGAACAGCAGCAGGUACCAGCAACAUUGCACAAACAUACAGGGUACACCGACAAAUAUGGAGGCUGGGUCCCUGCAUCUCGCCUGAAGGGUCUCUUUGUAACAUGGCGGUGGGGGAGGUCCACAUCACAAGUAGGCCGUCCAUGGAAGAGGGGGACUUAAGCAGCACUUUACCCCGGAGAGGGUACUUUGGCAUUGGGAGCACUACUCUGUGAAAACUGUGGAAGAGAAAAAGGGUUAAUUUCAAGGUACUUGAAAGCAUGUCAUCCUUCCUGAAAAAGAACAACAGCGGGUGCAAGCAACAUUCCACAAACACACAGGUUACACCGACAAGAGGGAGGUUGCGCCCCUGCAUCUCACCUUAAGGGUCUCUUUGUAACAUGGCGGUGGGGUGUAACAUGGCGGUGAGGGAGGUCCACAUCACAAGUAGGCCGUCCAAUGUAGAGGGGGGACUUUAGCAUCACUUUACACCGGAGAGGGUACUUUGGCCUUGGGAGAGCUACUCCGUGAAAACUGCGGAAGAGAAAAAUGUUUAUUUCAAGAUACUUGAAAGUGUGUCAUCCCUCCUGAAAAAGAACAGCGGCGGGUACAAGCAACAUUGCACAAAUACACAGGUUACACCGACAAGAGGGAGGUUGGGCCAAUGCAUCUCACCUGAAGGGUCUCUUUGUAAUAUGGCGGUGGGGGAGGUCCACAUCACAAGUAGGCCGUCAAUAGUAGAGGUUCACUUUAAACAUAACGCGAUUCAAAAAAGGGGUAAACACACCCAGCGGUAAACAGGAAUCCAAAAGGGGUAAACACCCAACUGUCAACUCAACAACGGGAACCCAUCAACAUGAUGGAACUUGUGGAUCAAACUGUCAACAGGACAUAACUCUGGAAUAAAAACAAAACAAUAAAGUCACAAAUUAAUUUAAUCAAAAAUAUGACAUACUGAUUUUACAUGAAAAUACAAAAAUUGCAAGUAUAUUAACAGAAUGAGGAAAAAUAUGUCUGUAUUAAAUGGCUUCUAGCUUCAUCUCCUUCGUCCAUACCCACAGGUGGAGCACAACAUGCAUUAAGUAUGCCGCAAACCUUCGACGGUGAGUGUAAAAGAGCACCACCGGAAGAGUCUAUACUUCGAAACCGGCUUUUAAGUACACCGAAGGCACGCUCAAUUACUCCCCGCGAUGUAUUGUGUGUCUCUUGGUACCGUUCUUGGGCUUCACCUACAGGAUUUGGUUUGUUCGGAUAACCCGCAUCGCCACUUACAGGCUGUGCCAUGUGGGGUAAGAGCACUCGCCUGGCUGCAAUCCAUCGUGCUUUAUGCAAGUUUUUAAACUUUCUGACCUUGUAUUUUACUACCACUCUCACAUUCUUUUUGGAGAUUGCUGAUAUUAUUUAAAAUGCAUCUUCAAGACCAUAUCAAGGUCAUGCAGAUACUGUACUUAACAUAAAUCAAACAAAUUCAAGCGUAAAAAAGAAAAAAAUGCAUUGUUAAAUACAAGGCAGAAAUUGAAGUUAAAAUAUCACCCUGAAAACCGAAUUUGGAGAGGAGCUGGUGCAUGUCGAUCGAAUGCCUUCUCAGCAUUGAGGGAAAGGAGUAGCACUUUCAAUCGUGUAUGAGUGGCCCAUUCAGCUAAGUCAAGAACCUUACACGUAUUGUCUAGGGCCUGAGAUCACAAUAACAAAACACACCUGUCGGCGUGAAUUAGCUGGGGGGGGGGGGGGAACAAGAGAUUAAGAUGGUUGGCAAUCAGCUUAGUGUAUACUUUCACAUCUGUAUUUAGAAGUUCGAUAAGUCUGUUUAUGCAGUCACUAUGGUCCUUGCCCGGUUUAGGAAUAGUGAUAAUCUGGACCGACCAUUUCUGUUGGGUAUGCACCCGUAUUGGAAGCUUCAUUGCACAAUUGCAAGAGAAUCUAGAAUCCUGCUUUAAAAUAUUUAUACUUUGAAAGUAGAACACUAGAUGCAUUUAAAAAGUGCCAAUUUUUUCAUUUAUAUUUGUAAAUAUACACACAUUUGCUAAUGUUGACAAUAUGUGCACUACAUCCAACAAACUUUGUUUGGCUAUUACCACAUAAUGAACAGUGGGGCAGAUGUGUUAAGCCUGAAGAAGUGAUAAAGCAGUGGUAAGUGAAAGGUGAUAACGCAACAGCCAAUCAUUACGAAUUUGAAAAAUGACAGAAGCUAACUGGCUGGUGCGUUAUCACCUUGCUCUUAUCACUUUAUCCCUUCUCAAGGCUUAAUACAUUUGUCCCAGUGUUCGUCAACCUUUAGUAUGCAUAUUGUGCAAACGGUACCAUGCAUCUGGAAAGUACUCACAGUGCUUCACUUUUUCCACAUCUUAUGUUGCAGCCUUAUUCCAAAAUGGAAUAAAUUCAGUUUUUCCCUCAAAAUUCUACACACACUACCCCAUAAUGACAACGUGAAAAAGUUUUUUGAGAUUUUUGCACUGUGGCCUCCAUCAUCUGUAAAUGGAAGAAGUUCAGAAACACCAGGACUCUUCAUAGAACUGUCUGAGAAGUGCCCUAGUCAGGGAGGUGACCAAGAACCCGAUUGUCACUGUUAACCCGAUUGUCACUCUGUUAGAGCUACAGCAUUCCUUUGUGGAGAGAGGAGAACCUCCCAGAAGGACAACCAUCUCUGCUUCAAUCCACUGAUUAGGCCUGUAUGGUAGAGUAACCAGAUGGAAGCCACUCCUUAGUAAAAAGCACAUGGCAGCCUGCAUGGCGUUUGCCAAUAUGCACCUGAAGGACUCUUUAAGACCAUGAGAAACAAAAUUCUCUGGUCUGAUGAGACAAAGAUUGUACUCUUUGGCGUGAAUGCCAGGCGUCAUGUUUGGAGGAAACCAGGCACCGCUCAUCACCAGGCCAAUUCCAUCCCUACAGUGAAGCAUGUUGGUGCCAGCAUCAUGCUGUGGGGAUGUUUUUCAGCUGCAGGAACUGGGAGAUUAGUCAGGAUAGAGGGAAAGAUGAAUGCAGCAAUUUACAGAGACAUCCUGGAUGAAAACCUGCUACAGAGUGCUCUUAACCUCAGACUGGGGCGACUGUUCAUCUUUCAGCAGGACAAUGACCCUAAGCACACAGCCAAGAUAUCAAAGGAGUGGCUUCAGGACAACUCUGAAUGUCUAGUGGCCCAGCCAGAGCCCAGACUUGAAUCCGAUUGAAUAUCUCUGGAGAGAGGUGCUGCAAAGAGGAAUGGGCGAAAAUGGCCAAAGAUAGGUGUCCCAAGCUUGUGGCAUCAUAUAAUCAAAAAGACUUGAGGCUGUAAUUGCUGCCAAAGGUGCAUCAACAAAGUAUUGAGCAAAGGCUGUGAAUACUUCUGUGCAUGUGUUGUUUUUUUUAAAUAAAUUUGCAAAAAUUUUUAAACGUUUUUCACGCUGUCAUUAUGGAGUAUUCUGUGUAUAAUUUUGAGGGAAAAUGAAUUCCAUUUUGGAAUAUGGCUGUAUCAUAACAAAAUGUGGACAAAUUGAAGCGCUGUGAAUACUUUUCGAAUGCACUGGAUGUUUUAGAAAACAUUAAGGUAUCACUGAUGUUUCUAUUUGUUUCCCCGUAGCUGCUGCUUCUAGGACACCGUAUCUGCUAAAAAGAUGGCGCAGUGAGAUAGUCGCACAGGAUGCUGGAAAACGAAGCAUUUGUAAGAGAUGAAGAAUACUUGUGAAAUUUAAAGUCCUCGGUUACACAGAUUAAAAUUACAAUGGGAUCUUCGGUAUCAUCUAAUGGGAUCAUGGAUAAGCAAUUCUUCCAAGAUAAAAUAGAGGGAUUUAUGGUGCCAUUAGUGAAUAAAUAUUACCCAUCUCAUCACAGGAUAUUCCAAGACAAUGACCCUAAACGCACACCACCAGAAUUAACCAAAUUCAUUGAAUAAUCUACAUGUACUCCAUUAUCCCUGUAAUUCCAUGUUGUUUGGCUACUACUAUGUUCAUUCAUAUUUAUGCACCAAAUUUAUGUAGUGAACUAUGUUUGAACUGUUUUAAUAAAUCUUAUAUAUCGA